GACGGAGGAUGCAAGUGUUAUCCGGAAUCACUGGGCGUAAAGCGUCUGUAGGUGGUUUAAAAAGUCCACUGUUAAAAAUUGAAGCUUAACUUCAAAGAUGCCGUGGAAACUUUUAAACUUGAGUAUGAUAGGGGUAGAGGGAAUUUCCAGUGGAGCGGUGAAAUGCGUAGAUAUUGGAAAGACCACCAAUGGCGGAGGCACUCUACUGGGCCAUUACUGACACUGAGAGACGAAAGCUAGGGGAGCGAAUGGG
rnacentral:rRNA from 1 species